rnacentral:rRNA from 1 species
UACGGGGGGAGCAAGCGUUGUUCGGAUUUACUGGGCGUAAAGGGCGCGUAGGCGGUCAGCACAAGUCAGUUGUGAAAUCUCCGGGCUUAACUCGGAAAGGUCACUGAUACUGUGCGACUAGAGUGCGGAAGGGGCAACUGGAAUUCUUGGUGUAGCGGUGAAAUGCGUAGAUAUCAAGAGGAACACCUGCGGCGAAGGCGGGUUGCUGGGCCGACACUGACGUGAGGCGCGAAAGCCAGGGGGAGCGAAACGGG